AGCAGCCGCGGUAAUUCCAGCUCCAAUAGCGUAUAUUAAAGUUGUUGCAGUUAAAAAGACUCGUAGUUGAAUUUCGGGGUUCGUACCGUUGGUCAGGCUAUUGUCUGUACUGGCGUGUAGAAUUUCUACCUUCUGGGGAACGUAUCAUGUUAUUAAUUUAGCGUGGUAGGAAACCAGGACCUUUACCUUGAAAAAAUUAGAGUGUUCAAAGCAGGCUUAUGUCUGAAUACAUUAGCAUGGAAUAAUAAAAUAGGACGGUGGUCCUGUUUUGUUGGUUUCUGAAUCACCGUAAUGAUUAAUAGGGAUAGUUGGGGGCAUUAGUAUUCAAUUGUCAGAGGUGAAAUUCUUGGAUUUAUUGAAGACUAACUACUGCGAAAGCAUUUGCCAAGGAUGUUUUCAUUAAUCAAGAACGAAAGUUAGGGGAUCGAAGACGAUCAGAUACCGUCGUAGUCUUAACCAUAAACUAUGCCGACUAGGGAUCGGACGAUGUUAACUUUCUGACUCGUUCGGCGCCUUACGG
rnacentral:rRNA from 1 species